AGUAUCUUCAGUUGUAGCCUAUAGUUUCAAAAGCGUUCUAGCGUCGCUUCAAUGAAUGCGCCCCCCUCGAUGUCAUUCGUUGGCGCUUAAUUUCUGCACGAUCCGUGCCGCGCUUUGGAAAAACUGCAUCUUGCCAAAGAGCGUGGAAAUCUACUUGUAUAUUUUACACAGCAAAGGUGCUUCUUCGUGCGCUGACUUGGUUGCUAUUUUCUCUUCCGUCUUUCUGUGAGCUCGAAUGUCAGUGGAAUAAUUAGAAAUACAGCUUUUGCUUUAACUCUCUUCUUCGGUCUCCUAACGUCAACGACGUCGCCUCUCUUUUUUUCGCUCUUGGCUGGAGGUCCACUGGAAUAUAAACGCAGUGAGUUUGAGCGGUGAAGCGGCAUUCCUCGCGCCGCGCUCGAGACGUGUGCGGAUCUUGACCGCGCGCUGCAGCAACGGCCAAUCCAUCUAUCUCCACACAUCAGCGCGCGCUGGACGUGCAGGUUCGCGGACAGUUCUUGCUUUAAAGUUAACAAAUAACGUUUUUGUGAGUCAUAACCAAUGAAUGUGAAACUAAAUAAUACAAUUUUCCAUAAAAAUGGUUUUUAAUGAGAGAACUCACAUCGACGCCAUGUGAAUGUGUCAUUUUUCAGAGCUCUUCUCUGUGAGAGAACGUUUUGUCCGUUACGAUGUACUUCGAAUAACCGACUUUUUUCCUGCUCGCGCUCGUUUUAUCGCGUUUAAUAACGAUGGCCACCGAAAUUCGCUUUGACAAUCGGAAUAUUGUGGAGAAAUACAUCAAUCACAAACUUUCAAAGAAGGGAUAUGUGUGGAAAUCUCAAUCUUCUGGGGAGGAUGAUGACACCGCCAAUAAAGGAAUCGAGGGUUCCUCUCUAAACUCUGGCAGGAGGCUUCAGGCUCCCUCAGCCGGAGGGGGGAACAACUCUGAAUGCCUGAUAGCUCACCGGGUCACUCGUUCAGACCCUUAUUCAAGGAUCUACCGGGCGCUACGCGAGGCUGGAGACGAGAUAGAAAGGCUAUACCAGCGUGAAUUUGAGGAGAUGUCCCACCGCAUGAUAUUCAGUCCCAAUACAACGCAACGCAGCUUCUUAGCCGUGGCAGAAGAGCUCUUUAAAGACGGAGUGAACUGGGGGCGGAUCAUCGCUUUCUUUGAGUUUGGUGGGACCAUGUGUGUGGAGAGCGUCAACCGGGAGAUGGCGUCCCAGGUAGAUAAUAUUGCACACUGGAUGACAGACUACCUGAACGGGCCUCUGGAAAACUGGAUCGAGGAAAAUGGAGGCUGGGAUGCCUUCGUGGAGUUGUACAGUCAGCAGAGAGACUCAGUGUUCCACCCAUUUUCGUACCUAACUAAAGUACUUGGAUUGGCAGUGCUCGGCUUGGCAGGAGUGACCAUCGGAGCCUUUUUCGCUCAGAAGUGACGGCUCUACAGGUCUCUUCACCAAACUAUCUCUCUUUCUCUGACUGUCUCUCCUCUUCAGCUUAUCAAAGCAUCUUUCAGCGCCGCACUGCCCUGCUAAGCCCAGCACCAGUGCCCUUCAAAGGCUGCCGCUGAUCCGGCGCCCCUCCAGCCACAGGCUCGCUGGAGUGAAGAAAACACGAAGAAAAAGAAUACAGAAUACAGAAUGAGGACUCACAGGAACGCUCCCACACUUUGACUAUAAUGCUCGUCACUGCCAUGUACAGUUGCACUCGCACGGAGAUCGACACACAAAGCACGUGCACACACAGACACUUGCUCGCAUACUUCAUAUGCAGAAAAAAAAAAAAAAAAAAAACAUUUUAUCUUUAAAGUUUGUUUCUCAUGUAUGAAACAAGUACAAAGAGAUUUUUAAACUUCAGAUUGUGCUUUUUGGACAUUUUGAUAUCAGGUUUUUUUGGCAUUUUGUAGCAUGAAUCAAAAAAAAAAAA